CGCAUGUACGUCCUUCCAUAUAGUUGGCCAAUAAAAGCCGGCUUGUAGGAUUUUAGAGCAGGUCUUGGAUGUACUUGUGUGUCCACCAUAAGGAGCGGAGUGGCAGUGUUGGAUUAUAUUUUCUACCUCUUCUUCGGGUAUACAUCGACGGAAAAUACCAUCGGGGCCCCUUUUGAAAAGUAAGGGAUCAUCCCAGUAAUAGUGUUUUAUAUCGUAGAAGAAUCGUUUCUUCUGCUGGUA
rnacentral:lncRNA from 1 species